GAGUUUGAUCCUGGCUCAGGAUGAACGCUGGCGGCGUGCCUAAUACAUGCAAGUCGAACGCUGGAGAUCUAGCUUGCUAGAUCGAAGGAGUGGCGAACGGGUGAGUAAUACAUAAGCAACCUACCCACGAAGACUGGGAUAAUCUCUGGAAACGGGGACUAAUACCGGAUAGGUAAUCGGAAGGCAUCUUCUGGUUAUUAAAGGUUAAAAACACUGGUGGAUGGGCUUAUGGCGCAUUAGUUAGUUGGUGAGGUAACGGCCCACCAAGACGAUGAUGCGUAGCCGGCCUGAGAGGGUGAACGGCCACAUUGGGACUGAGACACGGCCCAGACUCCUACGGGAGGCAGCAGUAGGGAAUUUUCGGCAAUGGGGGAAACCCUGACCGAGCAACGCCGCGUGAGUGAUGACGGCCUUCGGGUUGUAAAGCUCUGUUGUAAGGGAAGAACGGUAGAUAGAGAAUAUCUAAGUGACGGUACCUUACCAGAAAGCCACGGCUAACUACGUGCCAGCAGCCGCGGUAAUACGUAGGUGGCGAGCGUUAUCCGGAAUUAUUGGGCGUAAAGGGUGCGUAGGCGGCCUGUUAAGUAAGUGGUUAAAUUGUUGGGCUCAACCCAAUCCAGCCACUUAAACUGGCAGGCUAGAGUAUUGGAGAGGCAAGUGGAAUUCCAUGUGUAGCGGUAAAAUGCGUAGAUAUAUGGAGGAACACCAGUGGCGAAGGCGGCUUGCUAGCCAAAGACUGACGCUCAUGCACGAAAGCGUGGGGAGCAAAUAGGAUUAGAUACCCUAGUAGUCCACGCCGUAAACGAUGAAUACUAAGUAUUGGGGAAACUCAGUGCUGCAGCUAACGCAAUAAGUAUUCCGCCUGUGGAGUAUGCACGCAAGUGUGAAACAUAAAGGAAUUGACGGGGGCCCGCACAAGCGGUGGAGUAUGUGGUUUAAUUCGAC
rnacentral:rRNA from 1 species